rnacentral:rRNA from 1 species
GGAAGUAAAAGUCGUAACAAGGUCUCCGUAGGUAAACCUGCGGAGGGAUCAUUACACAAAUAUGAAGGCGGGCUGGAACCUCUCGGGGUUACAGCCUUGCUGAAUUAUUCACCCUUGUCUUUUGCGUACUUCUUGUUUCCUUGGUGGGUUCGCCCACCACUAGGACAAACAUAAACCUUUUGUAAUUGCAAUCAGCGUCAGUAACAAAUUAAUAAUUACAACUUUCAACAACGGAUCUCUCGGUUCUGGCAUCGAUGAAGAACGCAGCGAAAUGCGAUAAGUAGUGUGAAUUGCAGAAUUCAGUGAAUCAUCGAAUCUUUGAACGCACAUUGCGCCCUUUGGUAUUCCAAAGGGCAUGCCUGUUCGAGCGCCAUUUGUACCCUCAAGCUUUGCUUGGUGUUGGGCGUCUUGUCUCUAGCUUUGCUGGAGACUCGCCUUAAAGUAAUUGGCAGCCGGCCUACUGGUUUCGGAGCGCAGCACAAGUCGCACUCUCUAUCAGCAAAGGUCUAGCAUCCAUUAAGCCUUUUUUUCAACUUUUGACCUCGGAUCAGGUAGGGA